rnacentral:rRNA from 1 species
UACAGAGGGUGCGAGCGUUAAUCGGAAUUACUGGGCGUAAAGCGUGCGUAGACGGCUAUCUAAGUCGGGUGUGAAAGCCCCGGGCUCAACCUGGGAAUUGCAUUCGAGACUGAAUAGCUAGGGUGCGGUAGAGGGAAGCGGAAUUUCCGGUGUAGCGGUGAAAUGCGUAGAUAUCGGAAGGAACAUCAGUGGCGAAAGCGGCUUCCUGGACCAGCACCGACGUCAGGCACGAAAGCGUGGGGAGCAA